CUCUCUUGCUUUUGUUCUCUCUCUCUAUUUCGCUCUCUCUCGCUCUCUCUUUUUUCUCUUUCUAUCUGUUUAUAUAUAUAUACAUAUAUCUCGCUCUUUCUUUUGCUGAACAGAGCCUAUCUUUCUCUUGUGUUUCAAAUGAUUUGGAUUCUCUUUAUUGUGCUCUCGCAAUCAUGUAAUCGGACCUUUCACUCUUAUCUUGCGCAGUAUGUACGGACAGUUUAUGUUAUUUUUUCUUCUCUAAAAAUAUGCGGAAAAUGAGAUCAAGACAAAUCAUGUAGCAUGCGACAUGUAUUUCCCAUUUUCGUAGUUUCAUUUCGCUUCUGACUGUGCUAUUUUAAUCUGAAGAUCAUGGAACAACAUUGCACGAUAUUGUUGAAUGUAAAUUUAGAUGGCGCGGUCUUGAUGAAAAUGGAUUAAAGGUAG